rnacentral:rRNA from 1 species
GAUGAACGCUGGCGGCAUGCCUAACACAUGCAAGUCGAACGAAGCACAUGAGACAGCUUGCUGAGGAUUGUGACUUAGUGGCGAACGGGUGAGUAAUGCAUGAGCAACCUGCCCUUCAGUGGGGGACAACAGUUGGAAACGACUGCUAAUACCGCAUAACAUUUUCGAGAGGCAUCUCUUGAAAAUCAAAGAUUUAUUGCUGAAGGAUGGGCUCAUGUCUGAUUAGCUAGUUGGUAGGGUAACGGCCUACCAAGGCGACGAUCAGUAGCCGGUCUGAGAGGAUGAACGGCCACAUUGGGACUGAGAUACGGCCCAG